rnacentral:rRNA from 1 species
GACAGAGGUGGCAAGCGUUGUUCGGAAUUACUGGGCGUAAAGGGCGCGUAGGCGGUCCGAUAAGUCCCGUGUGAAAGCCCCCGGCUCAACUGGGGAACUGCACGGGAAACUGACGGACUUGAGUUCGGGAGAGGGAAGCGGAAUUCCGGGUGUAGCGGUGAAAUGCGUAGAUAUCCGGAGGAACACCGGUGGCGAAGGCGGCUUCCUGGACCGACACUGACGCUGAGGCGCGAAAGCUAGGGGAGCAAACGGG